rnacentral:tmRNA from 1 species
GGGGGCGUUUUGGAUUCGACGGGGAUAGAUCGAGCAUCAGUAGCGAGCCGAGGGGCUGCGACCUCGUAAAAACGCGAAGCCAAAUGUAACUGGCAAAACUAACAAUAACUUCGCAUUAGCUGCUUAAUUCAGCUUGCGGCUCUACCACUCCAUCGCCCAUGUGGAGUGACUAGGGUUCAACCGUAGUGGGAUACGCGGUUCACCUUCCGUCUGUAGGUUGCCGAAGAGAUUAAUCAGACUAGUCCAUUAGAUCGUGGGUUGCUUGGCAGUCUAGUGGAUGAAAAUUAUUCAAGUAACUGCGCUCGGAGAAGCUGAUGUGACGAUAUUCUCGGACAGGGGUUCGAUUCCCCUCGCCUCCACCA